rnacentral:rRNA from 1 species
UACGUAGGGGGCAAGCGUUGUCCGGAAUUAUUGGGCGUAAAGAGCUCGUAGGCGGACUGUCACGUCUGCUGUGAAAAGCUGGGGCUUAACCCUGGCCUUGCAGUGGAUACGGGCAGACUAGAGGUAGGUAGGGGAGAAUGGAAUUCCUGGUGUAGCGGUGGAAUGCGCAGAUAUCAGGAGGAACACCGAUGGCGAAGGCAGUGGGCUGGGCCGGCACUGACGCUGAGGAGCGAAAGCGUGGGGAGCGAACAGG